CGGGAUUGCUUAUACGGCGAGUGAAGCGGCAGAGCUCAAAUUGAAAUCUAGUACCUUUGGUGCUCGAGUUGUAAUUUGUAGAGUAGUGCCUUGGGGCCGUUCCUUGCCUAUGUUCCUUGGAACAGGACGUCAUGGAGGGUGAGAACCCCGUGUGGCGAGGGGUGCGGUUCUGUGUAAGGCCUGCUCGAAGAGUCGAGUUGUUUGGGAAUGCAGCUCUAAGUGGGUGGUAAAUUCCAUCUAAAGCUAAAUACAGGCGAGAGACCGAUAGCGAACAAGUACAGUGAUGGAAAGAUGAAAAGAACUUUGAAAAGAGAGUGAAAAAGUACGUGAAAUUGUUGAAAGGGAAGGGCAUUUGAUCAGACAUGGUGUUUUGCGCCCCCUGCUCCUUGUGGGUGGGGGAAUCUCGCAGCUCACUGGGCCAGCAUCAGUUUUGGCGGCUGGAUAAAUCCGGAGGAAUGUGGCUUCUCUCGGGAAGUGUUAUACCUGCGGGAAUACGGCCAGCCGGGACUGAGGAACGCGACGCAAGUCAAGGAUGCUGGCAUAAUGGUUAUAUGCCGCCCGUCUUGAAACACGGAACCA
rnacentral:rRNA from 1 species